UGUGAUAAAUUAGUCGGGGUGCUUGAUAACUUGUUAUUGGGGUGUUAGUAUUCUAAGGUUGUGGGUGUAGAGAUCCACAAUCAGACAGUAAGAAAUUUAAAUAUUAUUAUAGGCGGGUUUAGAAGUAACCAUUUUAAGUAGGUGUUACAACCAAUACUAGUAAAUAAAGUCUUCUAUAGAAACCCAAUAUAAUGUAAACUAAAUAUAGUUGUAGUAUGUUAUAAUAAGUAGUUAAAUGUUUUAUUGAGGUCUCAUUUUAAUCCGAACUGUUUAUUAAAAACAUUUCUAUAAGAAUAAUUUUAUAGUAGGACCUGCUCAGUGUUUCAAUAAAUAGCCGCAGUAUCUUGACUGUGCUAAGGUAGCAUAAUUAAUUGUCCCUUAAAUAGGGAAUUGUUUGAAUGGUUGUUUUGGGUUAUAAAAUAUCUAUAAAAUGUGAACGAAAUUAGUUUAUAAGUAAAGAACCUUAUAAUAUAAUAAUAGACGGAAAGACCCCGAGAGCUUAAUUAAAAUUUGUUUGGGGCAAAAUCUUUAGUUUAAAAGAAGUUUGAACCCGCAGGGUUUAUUGGCUAAGUUACCUCGGGGAUAACAGGGUUAGAAAUAAGGAGAGUUCAUAUCGAUUUAUUUAGUUGCUACCUCGAUG
rnacentral:rRNA from 1 species